GUGAGGAAUAUUGGUCAAUGGGCGGGAGCCUGAACCAGCCAAGUCGCGUGAAGGAAGAAGGAUCUAUGGUUCGUAAACUUCUUUUGCAGGGGAAUAAAGUGCAGGACGUGUCCUGUUUUGUAUGUACCCUGAGAAUAAGGAUCGGCUAACUCCGUGCCAGCAGCCGCGGUAAUACGGAGGAUCCGAGCGUUAUCCGGAUUUAUUGGGUUUAACGGGUGCGUAGGUGGUUUGAUAAGUCAGCGGUGAAAGUUUGCAGCUUAACUGUAAAAAUGCCGUUGAAACUGUCGGACUUGAGUGUAAAUGAGGUAGGCGGAAUGCGUGGUGUAGCGGUGAAAUGCAUAGAUAUCACGCAGAACUCCGAUUGCGAAGGCAGCUUACUAAGCUACAACUGACACUGAAGCACGAAAGCGUGGGGAUCAAACAGGAUUAGAUACCCUUGUAGUCC
rnacentral:rRNA from 1 species